GGAGAUUCAACAGCACAUUCUCAAACUUCCACUGGGGAAUUCUAUUGCUUAGUUUCCUAAUUGCACAGAAUAAAAUAACAACAGUUGUUUUGCUUUCUCCUCAGCCGAUUUUGGCCUCCCUACUCAGCUCACCCCUUAGAAGAAUACACGGAGCGUGUUAACAGGGACUGCUUGGUGGAUGGCGCCUGAAGUGGUGACGUGUCAACCAUAUGGCCCCAAAGUGGACAUAUGGUCUUUUGGAAUUGUGGGAAUUGAAAUGGUGGAAGAAGAACCUCCUUACUGGAACCAGAGUCCUGCCUUGGCUAAAUUCAUGAUAGCCUCAAUAGGGACCCCACAGCUGCUGCAUCCCAAGCUCCUCUCGGCUUGGCUGCGUGACUUCCUGAGCUGCUGCCUGCAGACAGACGAGGAGCGGCGCUGGUCUGCCAAGGAGCUCCUGCAGCAUCCAUUUAUAACAUCUGCUGAGCCUGCAUCCAGCCUGGUGCCACUGAUUGUUGCAGUGAGGAAGAGGAAGGAGACAGGACAGCACCACUUAGUUAUCAACCACCUUAGAGCAGGAUUGUAGGUUAGGAUAAGGGUAAGGUUUAGGGUUAGGGUUAUGCUUAGGCUUAGAUUUAGGCUUAGAUUUAGGCGUAAGUUUAGGCUUAGGUUUAGGCUUAGGCUUAGGUUUAGGCUUAGGCUUAGGCUUAGGUUUAGGCUUAGGACUAGGUUUAGUGCUGCGGUUACGGUUAGAGUUACUGUUAUGACUAGGUUUAGGUUUAGUGUUAGGGUUACAACUAGUCUUAAGGGGUUAGGGUUAGGGUAUGAUUUUGUAAUAGGUGUGCAGAGUAGGAUUUGAAAUUAAUAAAACCUUUCAAACCAAAACUCUCCUUGUAAUUUCCUUCCUUCUUACUCUGUGAAUAAGCUCAUGAUUUCCUUGUAAAUUGUCUGUUGUUUCUUAAAUGUGGAAGUCACCCCUACAGUGUCUUUGGCAUGUUGUGAAAUUGGGGAACGCUCAUCUUCAUUUAUCCUCUCCAGACCAUGCUGCUUUUGGAAUAUGACCCACUUGUCUGGUUUUGGUCACCUGUGGUACCUCUAUUUGAGGUAGAAAGGGCAAUGGCAUUUGCAUGAAAAAACAAAGGAGGAAUGGGACAGCCCAAAUACUCUAUGUGGAUACAGGCUCUCUGCUGUGACUCAGGAGCAUUCGAGUUCCUGCCACUUGGAUUUGUAUCCCCAAGUGCAAUCUCUUUGGCGGAAGGAGAGCCUUGCUCAAGUGAGAAAGCAGAAGGAUCAGAGCGGGGGCUCUGAAAGGUCUCCUCUGGUGCAGA